GUAAGGUCUGUCUUCCUAAGACUGGAUAUUUACAACACAUGGUGAAGUACAGAGAGAAACAACAAAAGGGAAGGGAACGGUAAUUGAAUCAUUUUUUGAGAAAAAUGAAUGCUCAGCAGAAAACAUCCCAGACGAUUGAGAGGACUGUAGGCCAGAGAUGGCAAGAAGUAAGAAAAGCUUUUAAAGGAGAGAAGUGAAUACGGAACUAAAAUCAAGAGGACUGAGAGGGAACAGAUUGGGGUGGGUGGGGUGAGGAUCAGAGAAGAAUUCCAGAUCCAUUUGUGAAAGACACCAGGAGCUAAGCUUGUCUGUGGGGGAAAAAAAUAAAGAACGAACCCAAAUGAGGAAGAUCGGCAAAAAAAUCACUUUGGGAAGAAAGAUGGUGACAAGGUAGUGAGGACAAGGAGGCACAGCUGUCAUCUCAUUUAAUUCAGAAAUUAUUAAUGGGACGGAACAGCCACAGUGAGCCUUAACUGAUGAGAUGCUACUCAAAUUCUAGACAAUAGCAGUGGAAGACACACAAGUUACCGAGAGCCAAAGGGAUCUGGCAGCUGAUUCAAGGCAAACAUUACCACUAUCAGGAACCACAAAUAAACCCUGAGAAAAACCAUAAUGAAAGCGACGCAGGAACACGGCGUUCCUCAUGGAUCAGACACUACCUCUUCUGAUGAUAUCAUGGUUGUGGACCCAGAACCCUCCCAGGAGAUUCUAGUUAUAAAAUAAAACGCAAA